GAACACUCUAAGAUUUAUUCUGAAUAAUGUUAUUGCGGGUAUUAGAAAUAUCUAUAUAAUUUGGAUGCUCGAUGACCACUUAGAGCUAAAUGGCAUAUCAACGCCAUUUGCAAAAACUUACCGUAUCAAUAUAAUUUCUUGGCAGAUCUCUCUGAACACCCGCCACGCAUUUCAGGAUUUUAGCAGUGAUUGUCAAUUCUUUGCGUUGGUUUGGACUUCCCUGUUUUGAAAAUAAAAAUCUUGCACAAUAUACAUGCGCUAUUUUGCAUUGGCAAUUUCCAUUUUUCGUACCAAAUACUAAAGCAAUUUUCUACGUAUUUAUGCUUUAGACCAACAAUCACGUGUAAGGGCAACGGAAAAAAAACAAAAACAAAAACAAAAACACAAACAAAAAAAAACAAAGAAGAGAAAUAAAUAAAUCGAUAAACAAAAAAUGAAAACAAAUAAAACUAUGGUUCAAAUUUUAAAGAAAUUAGAGGAAAUCUUAUCAAGCUGCUCGUUCUUGCGGUAACAACAAUUAAUACAGCAUAGUUGAAAUAGCAUGUUUGAGAGGAAUGUUUCAAACAGGAUAGUCUUUUGUUUUCGAAGUAUGCGUGGCUGUUACCAGAUCACAAAUAUAAACAUGAUAUACUAUCAAAUAUUAUUAGUAUUAUUAGUAUUGUUAUGUUAUUUUUCAAGAAAUGAGCAAAAUAAUCGAUAUUGCUCUAUUAAAAAGAAUUGCUCAAACUGAACAUGCCAACUUUAAAAGCCUGUCAGCUGAGAAGUUCCAGAAUUGCUUAAGCAAGUUCAUUCAGAUAUUGAAUGGGUCAGAUAUCGAAGCACUUUCAGAGAGUGGUUGUUCUAAUAUAAUCGGGAGAACUUUGAUUGAAUAAUUAUCGAUCACGUACGGUCAAUAGCUUUGAGUUUCUUAAUCUUGCGGGAAAAUAUGUAUUGACGAUGAACGAUUUUUUUUUCGGUAUCACCGUAUUAGUUUAAAGUGGCAAAUUUCCAAUUUGUAAGUGACCAAUGAAAGCGCGGCGGGAAUCAUCUACUUAAAAGAAAAAAUGUCUUUUGUUUAAAUGCAGGGGAGAAGAGGCAAUUUCUCUCUGUGUUUCACAUAUAGAAUCAAACUUUCAAGAGUCCGCGAUAAUUGUGGUUGUAAUUUUUUUUUAAAAAAAAUCCGCUUAUGAAGUUGUAAUACAACAAUCAGAUUUAAAUAUUGAGAAUUUCUUUCAUGUUUUAUCGUAUUACCAAUGGAAAAGCUGAUUUCUACGAGUUAUUCUUAGAUGGGACCCUAAUUUGUGACCAAUGAAAUAUAUAACUGUAUUUAAGUGUUGGGCAGUGAUGAAAUAUAUAUAUAUAUGACCAGAAGCAUAUCACCUAGAUUAGGUGAUAUGCUGGGCACACGGUGAAUCUAAUUCCGGUAAAAACCAAGUGUGUCACAACUGAAAUAAAGCUUAAUUUAAUUAAUUACUAAGUAAUGCUUUUAUGCCUCUAUUGUUUCGUUAUCCACGUCUUAUAAAAUGAAAUUUGAAACUAAUUUUGUUUGGGCUUUGGUGUAAUCCGCUCGCCGUGAGUAUUGUGCUUGCCAAGUGUUUGGUGUAACAAAAAUGCCUAAGACAGCGAAGAAUUUCCACAAGUCGAAGUUCUUUGGAAGAUCAUGCUUUCCCAAGUUUAUCCUAAGAGGUUUGUUUUCACCCUCAUUUCAGAAGCUACAUUUUUUAUUAAAUAAAUCAAGGUUACGAGUGUUAUUAUCACAAGUACAUGUAGAAAUUGCCGUUGAAUGGAACUUUGAGGUCCCCUUUGAGUGGCAUUGUCGGUCUACUUUGACGUCAUGAAAUCGUGCGCACAUCACGUGCUUAAAACGUGACACAAAUUCAGUCUGGACAGACUAUAGCUAAUACAUAGAGCAUCUUAAAACACGAAGGCGCGCUAUAAAAGGGCAUAAGGUCCGCCCCCCAAUUUCGAAGUCACGGGGAAAUCAAAAUGGCGGACUAUAUGAAGAACAACGGUACACUUUCUGCUCGAGCUGUUUUGAUAUUUACAGCUUAAGUUCUGCACAAAAUAGCCUCAGAAAACAGCAGUUGUAGCAUUUCGAGGUGAAAAGUAUUAAAAAGAGUGAAGUAAAAACCAUACGUGUUCACAAAACUAAGCCUCCAGCAGGAGAAAUGGUCAGAAUUCAAAUCGCGCGCCAUUUUGGUUGCAUACUCGCUCCUUAAUGGUGGCUGGACGGGUAUUUUUUUGUCAUUUUUGAGCCUACAGUUCUGCAUUUAGUAUCUAGUAGUUUCCCACAAAAUUUAUGCGCGAUUUCGAAUACUGAACGGCGAAGAGGCUGGCUGAACAACAAAUAUUGGCGACUGCGAGCCGACUUUGUAUUGACGGGUUGAUUACAAGUACUCUUUGCUGGCAAUCAAAAUGCUCACGGUUGGUCCUCCCGAAAAGAAGACGAAAAUAGAGAGAAACAAGGGGAAAAACGCGAACCGAGAUCCAGAGAAGCGAAACCCGUAUUUCAGCCUGACAGUGGAAGUAAAGCGGGAGGAUGAAGCCCACUUACAAAGUUUGCGCUGUCGGCUAGAUCAUGCAAAGUCGCUCCUCGGUAUCGACCGUAAAACUUACUCGACGCAAAAUGCGGAUCUCUUGGAGCAACUUUUAAACUGCUUCGAACUGGUGAUGCCUACAGCAGUCAAUGUAGCUAGGGCCAUCUCCAGCAGCAUCCACCAGCUCGGUGCAGCCGCCACCAAAAAACUCGCUGGAACUCGAACAAGAACAUCAGCGACCUGCUUGGCGACCACAAAAGAGGCAGAUUUACGUAGCUGCUUCUGUGGAUGACCCUUUCUUUGUUUGCACUGGUGAAUCGCUUAAGUCACUGGUGAAGUACUUCACAAGAAAUUCGCAGUGUGAAUUUUGUGGCGGGGACUAUCAGUUUUCCGGAUUGUCGUUGUCCAGGCAUGGCAAUGUUUGCCGUUUGGAGCUCCUUUGUGUUUGCGACGAUUCAGUGGUUUGACUUAGUUCAGGGUUACUUGGUCAUCCUGCCAAGUAUGUUGCAAACGUGAGGAUGGUGCAUGCAUUUUCCUGUACUGGUUUGACAGAAACCCAGUACCAUAGCUUUGGCGAGGCUGUAGGCAUUGGCUCUGUUCGGGACAAGACGAUAAACACAAGUGGGUAGUUUUCUUUCAUUGCACUCCUGGUUUGUGGAGGUACAGUGACCUAAUGCCAGUACACUGGACUCCCGAUCAAGUGGUCUGGAUUCGAGACCUGAUGGUCAGGGCACUGCAUUGUGGCCUUGGGGACAACACUUUUCUCUCAAAGUGCCACUCAAUGCCCAGUUGUAUAAAAAGUCUACAAGGAUCAAUGUUUUGGAUACUUCAAAAUAGUGAUGGAUCUUGCCCAGAAAUCCAUGGCAGACGCCAGACGGGAGGUGCAAGCAACCAACAGCUACAAAACAAAUGGCGAUUGCAUCAUCACUGAUGCCAGACAUGACUCCAGUAGGGCAGCCAUGCAUUCCACUGUCUCAGCCAUUUCUAUGAG
rnacentral:lncRNA from 1 species